GCCUUUAUAGCUCAGUGGUAGAGCGCAUCACUCGUAUACGCGUACCCGAUGAUGAGGUCCAUUGUUCGAUCCAGUGUGGAGGCA